rnacentral:rRNA from 1 species
AGCAGCCGCGGUAAUUCCAGCUCCAAUAGCGUAUAUUAAAGUUGUUGCAGUUAAAAAGCUCGUAGUUGAAUUUCGGGACCAAUCUGCCGGUCGUGCCUCCGGUACGCACUGGUUUUAUUGGUUUCUCCCUUCUGACGAACCAUGAUGUCAUUAAUUUGGUGUCAUGGGGAAUCAGGACUGUUACUUUGAAAAAAUUAGAGUGUUUAAAGCAGGCUCACGCUUGAAUACAUUAGCAUGGAAUAAUGAAAUAGGACGUUUGAUUCUAUUUUGUUGGUUUCUAGGAUCGACGUAAUGAUUAAUAGGGAUAGUUGGGGGCAUUAGUAUUCAAUUGUCAGAGGUGAAAUUCUUGGAUUUAUUGAAGACUAACUACUGCGAAAGCAUUUGCCAAGGAUGUUUUCAUUAAUCAAGAACGAAAGUUAGGGGAUCGAAGACGAUCAGAUACCGUCGUAGUCUUAACCAUAAACUAUGCCGACUAGGGAUCGGAUGAUGUUAUUUUUUAAUGACUCAUUCGGCACCUUAC